ensembl:lncRNA
UUUAAAUUCAAAUUGCAUUUGCGAGGGAGUCCCACCAGCGACAGCAUGUGUCCCGCGUACCGUGAGUUGCUGAAUUUGCUCAUCCACAGAAAAUUCAUCAUUCAAUCGGAACAUGUGGUGGAAAGGCCCACCUGUGAGGUGAGGUGCCACCAGUGUUUAGGCUGAAGAAAAGGAAGGUGGAUGACAUAACUGAGGACUGGUCCGCCUGUCUCCCAAUGAGGACUGAUGAAGGGGGGCGGAGUGGCCUUGUUGGUGGCCUAUGUGGUGCGCCCUGUUCCAGCAGUCCAGCCCCUUCCUUGUUGGCACCUCCACCUGCUUGCCACGCUGCAGUUGUUUGAUCUCUUUUUGUUAUGGGUUAUCAAAUGACCUUGAUCAUUGUUAAACUAGAAUCACGCCUCCGUCCUCCCUCAUUGUCUGGUUACCCUAGGCCAUGACAAUGUAGACACACCAGUUAGUGCAGCAGCUAUGGUACAAACAUCUUUCUGUCUUCUCCAUAGGACUCGGUUGAAGAUCGCAUUCUUCGGGAUUGCAGACAUGCAGCAGAGUGGGUUGAGGCCAACCAUCAACUGUUCGCUGCCAAAGUGGACCUGCCUUAUGUUUUGUCCAUAGGGGAGGAGAACCAGGCUGAGGCUGCUCUGCAUUAUGGGAGGUUGUGGAAAGAAAAAGUCGAAGAUGAUGAAAAGGAAUCAAUCAUGAAGCCCUUCAUGUUUACAUUUUACAGCACUAAUGACAUGUGGAAAUUCUCUGAGGAAAUAAUGGACAAAAGACAGAAUUUGGCCUAUUGUGAAUGUCACACAGAUGACGUGAGUUAUGUUCAAGAGUAAAGGGCCACAGAACAUUUCAUCAUGUUGUGUUUUUUUCGUUCUAAUUGAUCACUUAAUUAUUCACUUGGAUUAUACUCUAGAUAUCAAGAGUUAGGGUUGUAUCUAUUGGUACUUAGGUGUUCCAGAAGCACAAACUAAAUUAGCAAAGACAUAGAACCACCAUACACUUGUGCAUGUUUCCACAAGUGAACGACUUCAUGCCUGUCUACAUUUCAAAGUCGUGCAUUUUGCAGAAAAUGUGUAACAUCGGAAUCCGGGGUAACAGCCGUUGCUGCGUUGGACAGGGCUAAAACCUGCUUUGCACAUGCUUUAUAUGCUUUCCCGCAUUAGAGUGACAGUUAUCCAACAAGUGUCGCUCUUAUUCUCGCUCGCUCUCCUUGUUUGACCGUGAUCUAGCAUCUAGGAUCGAUUGCUCUUCCUUGGGUCCCUGGAUGUGAACACUGAAUUUCAUGAUGGACCAAUAAGAAUUGAAUUGAAUUUUGCAUCCGAGUUUGGCUUGUUGAAUUUUUUACGUAAAAUAGAUUUUGAAUUUGUUAAAUUUGUUAAAUUCAGAGGCAAACAAUUCUGACACGUUAUUUCAAUGCAGAAAUAUUAUUAAUUUUCA